rnacentral:SRP_RNA from 1 species
GGUGGGGGCCUGACCGGCUUGAGGUCAUGAACCGGGUCAGGCCGGAAGGAGCAGCCCUAAGUGUUCCAAAGGCGCGGCUCAGGGAACCCCCAUCUUU